UACAGGGGUCUCAAGCGUUGUUCGGAUUCAUUGGGCGUAAAGGGUGCGUAGGCGGCGCGGUAAGUCGGGUGUGAAAUCUCGGGGCUUAACUCCGAAACUGCAUUCGAUACUGCCGUGCUUGAGGACUGGAGAGGAGACUGGAAUUUACGGUGUAGCGGUGAAAUGCGUAGAUAUCGUAAGGAAGACCAGUGGCGAAGGCGGGUCUCUGGACAGUUCCUGACGCUGAGGCACGAAGGUCAGGGGAGCAAACGGG
rnacentral:rRNA from 1 species